AGUGAACGCUGGCGGCGUGCUUAACACAUGCAAGUCGAACGCGAAAGAGGGAGCAAUCCCUCGAGUAGAGUGGCGAACGGGUGAGUAAUGUGUGGGUAAUCUGCCUUUCAGAGAGGAAUAACCCGGCGAAAGCUGAGCUAAUACCUCAUAACGUUAUUGUCUUUUAGGAUAACCAAAGAUGGCCUCUAUUUAUAAGCUAUUGCUGAAAGAUGAGCUCACAUCCUAUCACGCUUGUUGGUGGGGUAAGUGGCCUACCAAGGCGACGACGGGUAGCCGGCCUGAGAGGGUGUCCGGCCACACUGGACUGAGAUACGGUCCAGACUCCUACGGGAGGCAGCAGUGGGG
rnacentral:rRNA from 1 species